rnacentral:rRNA from 1 species
ACGAACGCUGGCGGCAUGCCUAACACAUGCAAGUCGAACGAAGUCUUCGGACUUAGUGGCGCACGGGUGCGUAACGCGUGGGAAUCUGCCCUUAGGUACGGAAUAACUCAUGGAAACGUGUGCUAAUACCGUAUGAUGUCUUCGGACCAAAGAUUUAUCGCCUAGGGAUGAGCCCGCGUUGGAUUAGCUAGUUGGUGAGGUAAAGGCUCACCAAGGCGACGAUCCAUAGCUGGUCUGAGAGGAUGAUCAGCCACACUGGGACUGAGACACGGCCCAGACUCCUACGGGAGGCAGCAGUGGGGAAUAUUGGACAAUGGGCGCAAGCCUGAUCCAGCAAUGCCGCGUGAGUGAUGAAGGCCUUAGGGCUGUAAAGCUCUUUUACCCGGGAAGAUAAUGACUGUACCGGGAGAAUAAGCCCCGGCUAACUCCGU